AUUGAACGCUGGCGGCAGGCCUAACACAUGCAAGUCGAGCGGCAGCGGGAAAGUAGCUUGCUACUUUUGCCGGCGAGCGGCGGACGGGUGGGUAAUGCCUGGGAAAUUGCCCAGUCGGGGGGGAUAACAGUUGGAAACGACUGCUAAUACCGCAUACGCCCUACGGGGGAAAGCAGGGGACCUUCAGGCCUUGCGCGAUUGGAUAUGCCCAGGUGGGAUUAGCUAGUUGGUGAGGUAAUGGCUCACCAAGGCGACGAUCCCUAGCUGGUCUGAGAGGAUGAGCAGCCACACUGGAACUGAGAAACGGUCCAGACUCCUACGGGAGGCAGCAGUGGGGAAUAUUGCACAAUGGGGGAAGCCCUGAUGCAGCCAUGCCGCGUGUGUGAAGAAGGCCUUCGGGUUGUAAAGCACUUUCAGCGAGGAGGAAAGGUUGAUGCCUAAUACGUAUCAACUGUGACGUUACUCGCAGAAGAAGCACCGGCUAACUCCGUGCCAGCAGCCGCCGCAG
rnacentral:rRNA from 1 species